rnacentral:rRNA from 1 species
GAUGAGUAGGGCGGGACACGUGGUAUCCUGUCUGAAUAUGGGGGGACCAUCCUCCAAGGCUAAAUACUCCUGACUGACCGAUAGUGAACCAGUACCGUGAGGGAAAGGCGAAAAGAACCCCGGCGAGGGGAGUGAAAAAGAACCUGAAACCGUGUACGUACAAGCAGUGGGAGCACAGAGCAAUCUGUGUGACUGCGUACCUUUUGUAUAAUGGGUCAGCGACUUAUAUUCUGUAGCAAGGUUAACCGAAUAGGGGAGCCGAAGGGAAACCGAGUCUUAACUGGGCGUUAAGUUGCAGGGUAUAGACCCGAAACCCGGUGAUCUAGCCAUGGGCAGGUUGAAGGUUGGGUAACACUAACUGGAGGACCGAACCGACUAAUGUUGAAAAAUUAGCGGAUGACUUGUGGCUGGGGGUGAAAGGCCAAUCAAACCGGGAGAUAGCUGGUUCUCCCCGAAAGCUAUUUAGGUAGCGCCUCGUGAAUUCAUCUCCGGGGGUAGAGCACUGUUUCGGCAAGGGGGUCAUCCCGACUUACCAACCCGAUGCAAACUGCGAAUACCGGAGAAUGUUAUCACGGGAGACAC